UUCAUUGCAUUGUUGGAGUGUGUAUAUCCAUCCUCAUCUUUGUACACAUCAUCUACGAUUCUAGCAAAGUUAAGAAUAAUGGUGAGUAGAGGCAUUGGAGCUGCAUUGUUUGGCUUCAGGAUCUCCUCAUUUAUAUCCUUCCAGGCAUUUUCCACUUGUUUAUUUAAUUCAUAACAUGCCUCCUGCUCUGACACACCAUACUGCUUUAUGUAGCAUUCUACGGCUGAGGCAACAUGUCCCCUGCUUUGCUCAAACUUGUGGGAGACAAUGUCACCCAUGAGCCUACAAAUAGCCGACACAGCUUUGACAAUCUUAGGUUCAGUGCAUAGCCAAUCGAAAGCCUCCUUCGAAGCCAAUUCUCCCAUUCCAAGGAAGGAUACGGGUAUGAGCAGAGGAUAAACAGAGGUGAUGAAACCAUUACUCAUAUAUUCUUCUAUUGUUGGAACACAAUUUUCGUUAAACCAUCUUGCUUCCACGAGGUAAGCUCUAACUAGUUUCUUCAUUGCUUCUUUCACAUGGAAUAUGCAGUCUG
rnacentral:misc_RNA from 1 species